rnacentral:tRNA from 1 species
GCGCGUGUAGCUCAGGUGGUUAGAGUACUUGCUUGACAUGCAAGGGGUCACUGGUUCGAGUCCAGUCAUGCGCA